rnacentral:rRNA from 1 species
UAAGGAAUAUUGGUCAAUGGACGGAAGUCUGAACCAGCCAUGCCGCGUGCAGGAAGACGGCCCUACGGGUUGUAAACUGCUUUUGCAGGGGAAUAAACCCCGAUACGUGUAUCGGGCUGAAUGUACUCUGAGAAUAAGGAUCGGCUAACUCCGUGCCAGCAGCCGCGGUAAUACGGAGGAUCCAAGCGUUAUCCGGAUUUAUUGGGUUUAAAGGGUGCGUAGGUGGCCUGUUAAGUCAGGGGUGAAAGACGGUAGCUUAACUAUCGCAGUGCCCUUGAUACUGAUGGGCUUGAAUGAACUAGAGGUAGGCGGAAUGUGACAAGUAGCGGUGAAAUGCAUAGAUAUGUCACAGAACACCAAUUGCGAAGGCAGCUUACUAUGGUUUUAUUGACACUGAGGCACGAAAGCGUGGGGAUCAAACA